UAUGGUACGGAGUGUUGGGCGGCUAAAGGGGAGCACGAACAUAAGCUGAGUGUGGCAGAUAUGAAGAUGUUGAGAUGGAUGAGCAAUCAUACGCGAUUGGAUCAAAUAAAGAAUGAAGAUAUAAGGGAGAGAGUUGGAGUAGCACCCAUUGUG